AUCAUGAUUUACAUUUGAGUGAGUGGCGAACUGGUGAGUAACACGUGGGAAACCUGCCCAGAAGCGGGGGAUAACACCUGGAAACAGAUGCUAAUACCGCAUAACAACUUGGACCGCAUGGUCCGAGCUUGAAAGAUGGCUUCGGCUAUCACUUUUGGAUGGUCCCGCGGCGUAUUAGCUAGAUGGUGGGGUAACGGCUCACCAUGGCAAUGAUACGUAGCCGACCUGAGAGGGUAAUCGGCCACAUUGGGACUGAGACACGGCCCAAACUCCUACGGGAGGCAGCAGUAGGGAAUCUUCCACAAUGGACGAAAGUCUGAUGGAGCAACGCCGCGUGAGUGAAGAAGGGUUUCGGCUCGUAAAACUCUGUUGUUAAAGAAGAACAUAUCUGAGAGUAACUGUUCAGGUAUUGACGGUAUUUAACCAGAAAGCCACGGCUAACUACGUGCCAGCAGCCGCGGUAAUACGUAGGUGGCAAGCGUUGUCCGGAUUUAUUGGGCGUAAAGCGAGCGCAGGCGGUUUUUUAAGUCUGAUGUGAAAGCCUUCGGCUCAACCGAAGAAGUGCAUCGGAAACUGGGAAACUUGAGUGCAGAAGAGGACAGUGGAACUCCAUGUGUAGCGGUGAAAUGCGUAGAUAUAUGGAAGAACACCAGUGGCGAAGGCGGCUGUCUGGUCUGUAACUGACGCUGAGGCUCGAAAGUAUGGGUAGCAAACAGGAUUAGAUACCCUGGUAGUCCAUACCGUAAACGAUGAAUGCUAAGUGUUGGAGGGUUUCCGCCCUUCAGUGCUGCAGCUAACGCAUUAAGCAUUCCGCCUGGGGAGUACGGCCGCAAGGCUGAAACUCAAAGGAAUUGACGGGGGCCCGCACAAGCGGUGGAGCAUGUGGUUUAAUUCGAAGCUACGCGAAGAACCUUACCAGGUCUUGACAUACUAUGCAAAUCUAAGAGAUUAGACGUUCCCUUCGGGGACAUGGAUACAGGUGGUGCAUGGUUGUCGUCAGCUCGUGUCGUGAGAUGUUGGGUUAAGUCCCGCAACGAGCGCAACCCUUAUUAUCAGUUGCCAGCAUUAAGUUGGGCACUCUGGUGAGACUGCCGGUGACAAACCGGAGGAAGGUGGGGAUGACGUCAAAUCAUCAUGCCCCUUAUGACCUGGGCUACACACGUGCUACAAUGGAUGGUACAACGAGUUGCGAACUCGCGAGAGUAAGCUAAUCUCUUAAAGCCAUUCUCAGUUCGGAUUGUAGGCUGCAACUCGCCUACAUGAAGUCGGAAUCGCUAGUAAUCGCGGAUCAGCAUGCCGCGGUGAAUACGUUCCCGGGCCUUGUACACACCGCCCGUCACACCAUGAGAGUUUGUAACA
rnacentral:rRNA from 2 species